AAUAGAUACCCAGGUAGUCCACGCCCUAAACGAUGUCAACUGGUUGUUGGAGGGGUUCCCUUUCAGUAACGAAGCUAACGCGUGAAGUUGACCGCCUGGGGAGUACGGCCGCAAGGUUGAAACUCAAAGGAAUUGACGGGGGACCCGCACAAGCGGUGGAUGAUGUGGUUUAAUUCGAUGCGACGCGAAAAACCUUACCUACCCUUGACAUGUCUGGAAUUCUGCAGAGAUGUGGAAGUGCUCGAAAGAGAGCCAGAACACAGGUGCUGCAUGGCCGUCGUCAGCUCGUGUCGUGAGAUGUUGGGUUAAGUCCCGCAACGAGCGCAACCCUUGUCAUUAGUUGCUACGAAAGGGCACUCUAAUGAGACUGCCGGUGACAAACCGGAGGAAGGUGGGGAUGACGUCAGGUCCUCAUGGCCCUUAUGGGUAGGGCUACACACGUCAUACAAUGGCCGGUACAGAGGGCUGCCAACCCGCGAGGGGGAGCUAAUCCCAGAAAACCGGUCGUAGUCCGGAUCGCAGUCUGCAACUCGACUGCGU
rnacentral:rRNA from 1 species